CCUCUGUGAGGGUGGUGCGCGUUUUGUUGGUAGUUUAUUUACUUAUUUAUUUAUUUAUUUUUUUUCGUUUCGCAGUCUGACUCAAGUGGCUUUUCAUUGCCUCGUGUCUCAGUUCUCCCUGUGUGUGUGUGACUAACUGAGGAAAUAAUUGGAGACGGAGAAACAAAGUUUGUGUGGAGAGGAGGAAAGAGCGAAGUUAAGAGAUGCAUGAGGACACGUCCCAGACACUUGGGAACUGCCGCAAGAACUAAACCGUCAGAUCAAAGCCUGGUUAGUGAGGAAAGAACGUUGACCCCACUAUACUGAAUCCAUAAUGUGACCUUUAUGUACGUCACCACCCCCCACCUGCGUACGUGCCAUGAUCUCCACAACCACUCCUGCCAAGGCUUCUUCUGCUCCUACCGUAUCCAGAGUUGCCAUUUUAGAGUAAGAUUGUGGAACUGAGAGAGAGAGAGAGAGAGAGAGAGAGAGAG